rnacentral:rRNA from 1 species
GGGAGGGGAGAUCAGGGGGCGAGUGGGUGAGUCACGAGUGAGCAGCCUGCCCCUGGCUGUGGGACACCACUGGAAAGGGUGGCUAAUACCAGAAACUACCCGCACAUGCAUCUUGUGUGGGUGGAAUUUUUUUCGGCUGGGGGUGGGCUCGCGGUCUAUCUGCUUGUGGGGGGGGUGAUGGCCUACCAGAGCAACGACGGGUAGCCGGCGAGAGAGGGCGACCGCACACUGUGGGAGAGACACACCGCACACACUCCUGGGGGAGGCAUGGGGGGGAUAUAUUGCAGAGUGGGAGAAUGCGUGAUGCACCCACCCCGCGUGAGGAAUGACCGC